rnacentral:lncRNA from 1 species
GUCCCUUUAUCAAGGUUAAGAAAACACGAAAACAUCAAAACAAGGGGGGCUGCCCGAUGCCGAGCGCUGGCAGUGGCCCCGGAUGGCUUGCGGGACCGAGGGCAGGGAGAAGCCAGCGUCCCUCUGGCAGCCAGGGACGGGCAGCAGCCGCCCUGCCAGCCCGCGCUCGGCUCGGCCGCUAAGGGCCAAAUGCGCUGUCUUGUGCUCCCGCAGGCUGCCUUCUGGUACGGAAGAAGCAGAAGACCUAGAAGAUCUGACUGCUUGAAUAUUUUUACUGCUUGAAUGUCAUGUUUUGAGGUCGAUGCACUCACCUGCCAGUGCUUUCAUGCUGAGAUUUGUUGAAGUUGAUACAGUACCUUUGUCCUACUGGAAGGUUAAAGUUGGAGAAGGAAAUACUUGCUCCCAAGAAGCAGAAACUGAACUCUCCCAAAAGUUUGUAAUCAGGUGGUAUGUUCUGGGAAAACAAAACAUCAUGUUUCUUCAGUGCAUCCUGACCUUUUCAGCCACCCUUUCUUUGGAAGAUCUGACACAGACUAACAGCGCCUGCCCCAUCUGACAUGACAGCAUCAGUGCCUCUUUCAGAAGGGGUUUCUUCACAGUAAAUGUGUUUCUGUUUGUUCCAGUAAAUCUGGUAAUGCCAGAAAUGAAUCUUUUCCAGUCUGGUUUCCUAGAUGCAUGACUGCGGAG